AAUGAUCGCAGGGGUCAAGGUCAGGGGUGUGGUAGUGCGCUAGGGGGAGGUUUCGUCUGUGUGCGUGUGUUUGCAUCCCCCCUUCCCCUCCCCCCUCAGCUGGCCGACUGUGUAAGCUGUCUCGGUGUUUGCUUAUUUUAUAAGCUGCUUCUUAUUGCUUUGCUCCAUGGACAACUUGGUGCAAAAAGGGAUAGGGGGGGGAUUCGGGUGGGUGUGGGGGGUGUAGUUGUGGUUGGGUCGGGGGAUUCAUCACCACCCACCUUCUGGCCCGUCUCCAGAAGUCCAAAUCAAGCCAGGAAUCAGUCCUGCAUCUCUGUAGCCCCCCCCCCCCCCCCCCCCGGUCAAAUAAGCGCCCCCUUUGCAGCACCAUGGAGUGAAACCCGGUCAGACACUUUGACAGCCCCCCCACCAACCCCAGCAACACCCCCCUGGUUGUCUCAGUCUGCUGCCUCCUGUAAUUUAACAUGUCAGCUCAGGGUUCAUCUCAUGUGCACCCCAAAGUAGGUAGCCAGGCACCUCUUACACUUGCCGCAGCCGUGAACAUCGUAUACAGGACUGUAUAGGUGUCUUGAAAUACCACAGGGGGUUUUUUUCGAUUAUAUUUUGACACCCGUAAAGAACGGGUUUCCUCUAUUUGAUGUCAAGUCUCAAUUACCGGUAGUCUAUUUUGAAUGAAUAAACACAUGUGUCAUAAGAGAUACUGUAGCUUCCUUUUAGCAGCAGUUUAAAAAGAAUAAAGGGAGUAACUAUCAACAUGUCAGUUGAGAUGAGUGGGAAAAAGUGCUCACACAGCUACUUGUGUCAAGAAAGAAAAAAGACUGGUAAAAACAGAACGACUGAUUCAACUUCAUUUACUUGAAUAAAAGUAAAAAGAAAAAAAGAGUACAGACUCCAUACCGGUGUAUAAGUACAAACAGUAAAAAUCAACACUGCUUAUCCUCUAUGGGUCAACUUGGCACAAUGAAAAAAAAUGAAAUCUACACACAAGAUAGUACAAAUACAUCCAAUCAAUCAUAUUGAGAGCUGUAGAAUUUACCUCUUGAAAGUAUAGUCUGCUUUGGUAAGUUGAAAAAUUACUCUGGUGGCUAAAUUUAGAUGAUAGGACCUCCAGAGGUUCCUACUUCUGAGCUAAGAUUCCUGCAGUUGAAAUGUGCUAGUUUUUAAUUUAUUAGGGGGG